GCAAGUCGAACGGUAACAGGGAACUUUUUCGGAAGAUCUGCUGACGAGUGGCGCACGGGUGAGUAACGCGUACACAAUCUACCUUUCACAGGGGGAUAGCCUCGGGAAACUGAGAAUAAUACCCCAUAGUAUAUACUGAUCGCAUGAUCUGGUAUAUUAAAGUUCCGGCGGUGGAAGAUGAGUGUGCGUUAGAUUAGCUAGUUGGUAAGGUAAUGGCUUACCAAGGCGACGAUCUAUAGGGGGCGUGAGAGCGUGAUC
rnacentral:rRNA from 1 species